AUUGAACGCUGGCGGCAGGACUAACACAUGCAAGUCGGACGGUAGCACAGAGGAGCUUGCUCUUCGGGUGACGAGUGGCGGACGGGUGAGUAAUGUCUGGGGAUCUGCCCGAUAGAGGGGGAUAACCACUGGAAACGGUGGCUAAUACCGCAUAACGUCGCAAGACCAAAGAGGGGGACCUUCGGGCCUCUCACUAUCGGAUGAACCCAGAUGGGAUUAGCUAGUAGGCGGGGUAACGGCCCACCUAGGCGACGAUCCCUAGCUGGUCUGAGGGGAUGACCAGCCACACUGGAACUGAGACACGGUCCAGACUCCUACGGGAGGCAGCAGUGGGGAAUAUUGCACAAUGGGCGCAAGCCUGAUGCAGCCAUGCCACGUGUAUGAAGAAGGCCUUCGGGUUGUAAAGUACUCUCAGCGGGGAGGAAGGCGAUGUGGUUAAUAACCGCGUCGAUUGACGUUACCCGCAGAAGAAGCACCGGCUAACUCCGUGCCAGCCGCCGCCGUAA
rnacentral:rRNA from 1 species